rnacentral:rRNA from 1 species
GGGGGAUAACACUUAGAAAUAGGUGCUAAUACCGCAUAACGGGGGAAGCCGCAUGGCUUUUCCCUGAAAACUCCGGUGGUACAGGAUGGGCCCGCGUCUGAUUAGCCAGUUGGCAGGGUAACGGCCUACCAAAGCGACGAUCAGUAGCCGGCCUGAGAGGGCGGACGGCCACACUGGGACUGAGACACGGCCCAGACUCCUACGGGAGGCAGCAGUGGGGGAUAUUGCACAAUGGGGGGAACCCUGAUGCAGCGACGCCGCGUGGGUGAAGAAGCGCCUCGGCGCGUAAAGUCCUGUCAGCAGGGAAGAAAAUGACGGUACCUGAAGAAGAAGCCCCGGCUAACUACGUGCCAGCAGCCGCGGUAAUACGUAGGGGGCAAGCGUUAUCCGGAUUUACUGGGUGUAAAGGGGGCGCAGACGGCGAUGCAAGCCAGGAGUGAAAGCCCGGGGCCCAACCCCGGGACUGCUCUUGGAACUGCGUGGCUGGAGUGUAGGAGGGGCAGGCGGAAUUCCUGGUGUAGCGGUGAAAUGCGUAGAUAUCAGGAGGAACACCGGUGGCGAAGGCGGCCUGCUGGACUGCAACUGACG